AAUUGGUUUGGAAACGGUUUAACCAAAUCUUGUUGCCUCGGCGGGGUCACGCCCCGGGUGCGUCGCAGCCCCGGAACCAGGCGCCCGCCGGAGGAACCAACCAAACUCUUUCUGUAGUCCCCUCGCGGACGUAUUUCUUACAGCUCUGAGCAAAAAUUCAAAAUGAAUCAAAACUUUCAACAACGGAUCUCUUGGUUCUGGCAUCGAUGAAGAACGCAGCGAAAUGCGAUAAGUAAUGUGAAUUGCAGAAUUCAGUGAAUCAUCGAAUCUUUGAACGCACAUUGCGCCCGCCAGUAUUCUGGCGGGCAUGCCUGUCCGAGCGUCAUUUCAACCCUCGAACCCCUCCGGGGGAUCGGCGUUGGGGAUCGGGACCCCUCACACGGGUGCCGGCCCCGAAAUACAGUGGCGGUCUCGCCGCAGCCUCUCCUGCGCAGUAGUUUGCACAACUCGCACCGGGAGCGCGGCGCGUCCACGUCCGUAAAACACCCAACUUUCUGAAAUGUUGACCUCGGAUCAGGUAGGAAUACCCGCUGAACUUAAGCAUAUCAAUAAGCGGAGG
rnacentral:rRNA from 1 species